UAAAAUAUUACAUAAUCUUGUCAAGAUUAAAUUACAGGUGAAAGUCCCGUACAUC
rnacentral:tRNA from 1 species